rnacentral:lncRNA from 1 species
UAUUGAGGAUUUAUUAUUUUGCAGCCAGAUGGAAGAGCAGUUCCUUGCUUUAUUAGAAUCUGCUAAUUCUGACAUUGACGUUCUUGGAAGCUAUGAUGCAUUAUAGAAUUCUUAUGUUUUUUAUUUUCCUAUAGACUAUGUAGAGGUGUAUAUGUAAGUAUAUAUAAAAAAAAUUUACCGCACGGAUAUUCUUUAGAUGGUAUGGUAUAAAUAUUUUUGAAUUAUUGGUAGGAGAUAACUUAGAUAUUAUACUCAGACUUUAAGAGUUGGAAAGAUUUGGAAAACCUUUAUUAUGACUAAAAUAAUACUAGCAAGACUUCAAUAUAGAUCAAUCAAUUACGAUGAAUAGUAGCUUUCAAUAUUCAAAAUCAACUUCAAUAAGUAGGAAAGGCGAAAGUGAAAUACCACUCCUUAAGA